rnacentral:rRNA from 1 species
GACGAACGCUGGCGGCGUGCUUAACACAUGCAAGUCGAACGGAAAGGCCCUGCUUUUGUGGGGUUCUCGAGUGGCGAACGGGUGAGUAACACGUGAGUAACCUGCCCUUGACUUUGGGAUAACUUCAGGAAACUGGGGCUAAUACCGGAUAGGAGCUCCUGCUGCAUGGUGUGGGUUGGAAAGUUUCGGCUGUUGGGGAUGGACUCGCGGCUUAUCAGCUUGUUGGUGGGGUAGUGGCUUACCAAGGCUUUGACGGGUAGCCGGCCUGAGAGGGUGACCGGCGACAUGGGGACUGAGAGACGGCGCAGACUGCUACGGGAGGCAGCAGGGGGGAAUAUGGCACAAUGGGCGGAAGUCUGAGGCAGAGACGCCGCGUGCGGGAUGACGGCCUUCGGGGGGUAAACAGCUGUCGCCUGUGACGAAGAGUGAGUGACGGUAAUGGGUAAAGAAGCACCGGCUAACUACGUG